AGUGAACGCUGGCGGUAGGCCUAACACAUGCAAGUCGAACGGCAGCACAGUAAGAGCUUGCUCUUACGGGUGGCGAGUGGCGGACGGGUGAGGAAUACAUCGGAAUCUACUUUUUCGUGGGGGAUAACGUAGGGAAACUUACGCUAAUGCCGCAUACGACCUACGGGUGAAAGCAGGGGAUCUUCGGACCUUGCGCGACUGAAUGAGACGAUGUCGGAUUAGCUAGUUGGCGGGGUAAAGGCCCACCAAGGCGACGAUCCGUAGCUGGUCUGAGAGGAUGAUCGGCCACACUGGAACUGAGACACGGUCCAGACUCCUACGGGAGGCAGCAGUGGGGAAUAUUGGACAAUGGGCGCAAGCCUGAUCCAGCCAGACCGCGUGGGUGAAGAAGGCCUUCGGGUUGUAAAGCCCUUUUGUUGGGAAAGAAAAGCAGCAGGUUAAUACCCCGCUGUUCUGACGGUACCCAAAGAAUAAGCACCGGCUAACUUCGUG
rnacentral:rRNA from 1 species